GUGACACCCAAGAUGGCUACAAGGCAAGCAGGUCUUAUUUUUUCUCUCCAGGCAAGCAUCAGUUGAAAAGAAAAGGGCAUCAGCGAAAGACAGGCUGGCAAAGCAUAGGGAAAAAAUAUACAGCAAUCCAGUGUUACUUGAGGAGUACAGAAGAGAAGAGAGAGAGGUAUCGGAAACGUAAGGAAAAUGGUAAAAUUAAGACUACUCUGGACCUCACAAGUAGACAGCAUGAGAGAAAAAAAAUUAAAAUGGAGGGGAAAAAAGCAAGAGCAAGCACUUCUUAGAUCUAACCCCAGCAUCUUCUUUAAGUGAAUGAGCUGGGGGGAAACGUGAUUGGUACAAAGCACUCAUUCCAGUUGCUUGUUUUAGUUGUUUGACCAACUCAUAAAUUGAGUUGUUGCUAUUCAGGUUCUUCACAUGAAAUUAUUCUCAGAAAAAAGUUAUGUGGUUGAAUGUCAGGACCAAAGUUUUUUUAGCUAAACUAAACAAUUUUUUUUGAAGAGCACAUGAUGCUGUUACAUUUAAAUGUUCAAUGAUUCUUUAUGACUGUAACUUGACUGUAAACACAACACUUGUUAACGCAAGGCAUGGUACAGUGAUGAUUAGGAUAA
ensembl:lncRNA